rnacentral:rRNA from 1 species
UACUUAGUGGCAGACGGGUGAGUAACAUGUAGGUAUCUGCCCUUUGGCCUGGAAUAACACGAGGAAACUUGUGCUAAUACCGGAUAAGUCUUUACGGAGAAAGCUUUAUGCACCAUUGGAUGAGCCUGCAUUUGAUUAGUUUGUUGGUGGGGUAAUGGCCUACCAAGACUGUGAUCAAUAGCUGAUUUGAGAGGAUGAUCAGCCACAUUGGGACUGAGACACGGCCCAAACUCCUACGGGAGGCAGCAGUGGGGAAUCUUGCACAAUGGAGGAAACUCUGAUGCAGCGAUGCCGCGUGAGUGAAGAAGGCCCUUGGGUUGUAAAGCUCUUUCGUCGGGGAAGAAAAUGACUGUACCCGAAUAAGAAGGUCCGGCUAACUUCGUGCCAGCAGCCGCGGUAAUACGAAGGGACCUAGCGUAGUUCGGAAUUACUGGGCUUAAAGAGUUCGUAGGUGGUUGAAAAAGUUAGUGGUGAAAUCCCAGAGCUUAACUCUGGAACUGCCAUUAAAACUUUUC